rnacentral:lncRNA from 1 species
UAUAUAUAUAAAUUAAAAAAUUUACUUAGUCUUCUCAACUUAUGUAAAUAUUUCAUUUCUAAUAAGUUUUUUUUAAUGGUAAACCUAUCUUAGAUUAAUCUUUAAUAAAUAUUUGAUAAAAGAUUAUAAAACUAUAAAAAAAACUAUACAUCUUAUAUUGAUAUUGGUGUCUUUGACUCUAAUAUAGAUCUUAUGUUCUUUACAUUUAAAAAAAUCCUAUUAUUAAAGAUAAUGUAGUCUAUUAAUGGCAUAUAAAUGAGGCACUUCUCUAAUUUGGCAUAAAAUCUUCUUUUUCAUUACUUUUUCAAUACCAAUUGAUAUAUUUUUU